AACGCUGGCGGACAUGCCCAAUAGAUUGUAAGUCGGACGAGAUCUCCGCCAUUAGUGUAGCACGGGUGCGUACGCGGGAAUCUGCCCUUUGGUUCGGAAAACUUCUGGAAACGGAAUCUAAUACCGGAUGAUGACGUAAGUCCAAAGAUUUAUCGCCCAAGGAUGAGCCCGCGUAGGAUUAUGUAGUUGGUGAGGUCAAGGCUCACCAAGCCGACGAUCCUUAACUGGUCUGAUAGUGAUGAUCAGCCACACUGGGACUGAGACACGGACCAGACUCCUACGGGAGGCAGCAGUAUGGAAUAUUGGACAAUGGGCGAAAGCCUGAUCCAGCAAUGCCGCGUGAGUGAUGAAUGCCUUAGGGUAGUCAAGCUCUUUUACCCGGGAUGAUAAUGACAGUACCGGGAGAAUAAGCUCCGGCUAACUCCGUGCCAGCAGCCGCGGUAAAUACGGAGGGAGCUAGCGAUGUACGGAAUUAAUGGGCGUCAAGCGCACGUAUGCGGGUAUUCAAGUCCGAGGUUGAAAGCCCGGGGCUCAAAGCCCGGAAAUUGCCUUUAGAACUAGAUUGCUUGAAUCCAGGAAAAGUAGUGGAAUUCGAGUGUAGAGGUGAAAUCGGAGAUAAUCCGGAGAAACCCCGAU
rnacentral:rRNA from 1 species